GACGAACGCUGGCGGCGUGCUUAACACAUGCAAGUCGAGCGGUAAGGCCCCUUCGGGGGUACGACGAGCGGCGAACGGGUGAGUAACACGUGGGUGACCUGCCCUCAGCUCUGGGAUAAGCCUGGGAAACUGGGUCUAAUACCGGAUAUGACUCCAUGACGCAUGUCGUGGGGUGGAAAGCCUUGUGCGGCUGGGGAUGGGCCCGCGGCCUAUCAGCUUGUUGGUGGGGUGAGGCCUACCAAGGCGACGGCGGGUAGCCGGCCUGAGAGGGCGACCGGCCACACUGGGACUGAGACACGGCCCAGACUCCUACGGGAGGCAGCAGUGGGGAAUCUUGCGCAAUGGGCGAAAGCCUGACGCAGCGACGCCGCGUGAGGGAUGACGGCCUC
rnacentral:rRNA from 1 species